GAUGAACGCUGGCGGCGUGCCUAACACAUGCAAGUCGAACGAAGCUUGACGAAUGAUUUUUUCGGAAUGAAUUCUGAUAUGACUUAGUGGCGGACGGGUGAGUAACACGUGAGCGACCUGCCUUUCAGAGGGGGAUAACAGUUAGAAAUGACUGCUAAUACCGCAUAAGCGCACAGCAUCGCAUGAUGCAGUGUGAAAAACUCCGGUGGUAUGAGAUGGACCCGCGUCUGAUUAGCUAGUUGGUGAGGUAACGGCUCACCAAGGCGACGAUCAGUAGCCGACCUGAGAGGGUGAACGGCCACAUUGGGACUGAGACACGGCCCAA
rnacentral:rRNA from 1 species